CGAGCGGGGAGUGCAUCGCCGUGUACAACGUGUGCGACGGCAUCCCGCAGUGCCAGGACAAGAGCGACGAAGGCCACGACUGCCCCCCCGCUUCCACGGAGGGAGUGCCGUCCAGCCUGCAGCCCGUGGACGCGGCGCCGCCAGGCAUGCACGGAGCGUCCUACGGCUACCCGAGUCAGAUCUUCAGCCACAGGCCGAAUGUCCUCGACAACUACAGCCACC